GAUGAAGAACGCAGCGGAAUGCGAUAAGUAGUGUGAAUUGCAGAAUUCAGUGAAUCAUCGAAUCUUUGAACGCACAUUGCGCCCCUUGGUAUCCCGAGGGGCAUGCCUGUUCGAGCGUCAUUUCACCACUCAAGCCUGGCUUGGUGUUGGGCGACGUCCCCUUUGGGGACGCGCCUCGAAACGCUCGGCGGCGUGGCACCGGCUUUAAGCGUAGCAGAAUCUUUCGCUUUGGAAGUCGGGGCCCCGUCUGCCGGAAGACCUACUCGCAAGGUUGACCUCGGAUCAGGCAGGGAUACCCGCUGAACUUAAGCAUAUCAAUAAGCGGAGGA
rnacentral:misc_RNA from 1 species